CGUAAAGCGCGCGUACGCGGUCGGAUAAAUCGGAUGUGAAAGCCCCGGUCUCAUCCUGGGGAACGCAUUCGAUACUGUCUGGCUAGAGUUUGGUAGAGGGUGGGGGAAUUCCCGGUGUAGCGGUGAAAUGCGUAGAUAUCGGGAGGAACAUCAGUGGCGAAGACGGCCACCUGGACCAAAACUGACGCUGAGGUGCGAAAGCGUGGGGAGCAAACACGAUUAGAUACCCUGGGAGUCCACGCCGUAAACGAUGAGAAUUAGCCGUCGGGCUUCUUUUUGAGCUCGGUGGCGCAGCUAACGC
rnacentral:rRNA from 1 species